UUAUUUCUCUAGCACAGGAGAUACCAUGAUCACAUAGUUGGUUUUUCUCAGGGUGAGCCUCAAACAUUGCAUUCUGGUUGUGCAGACACCUGUAAUUUUGUCAAAAUUCACGGGAAACUCAAUGACAUUAUUUGUGGUAGUGGGUACCGCAUUCGCAUUUUCCCC